AUACUUAACCAGCAGGGGAGAUCCAUGAUCACAAAGGUGUUUUUCCCAGGGCAAGGCUUGUCCGUUGCACUCUAAGACGUGUUGAGCCCUUUCAUCUCCCCAAAUCUGGGAAACCUGCCUGCAUAAUUUGUGAUAGUUUACACUCUACCUUGGCAGGAAAA
rnacentral:snRNA from 1 species